UUUUGGGACAUUUGUGACAUUUUGGGCACCCAAACUCCUUCCCCCCCUCUCCCUCCAUGAAUUCCAAAUUUUUUUUGCCAGAAAAUUCCAAAGGGGGGGGGAGGGGCCGAUCCCAAAUCCCCUCCCCACCCCCUUUAUUUGGGGACAGGAGGGGACACGGGAUUUGGGGGGGGAAAUGGGAAUUCGGGGAAAAAUUGGAAUUUUUGGGCAUUUUAAGGAAAAUUUUGGGGAUUUUUUUUUGGAUUUUAAAGGGGUUGUUUUAUGGGAUUUUGGGCUGGAUUUGGGGCUGGAUUUUGGGGUGAUUUAAUGGGAUUUAGGGCUGGAUUUUGGGAUAGAUUUGUGGGAUUUCAGGCUGGAUUUUGGGGUAAUUACAUUGGAUUUAGGGCUGGAUUUCAGGACAGAUUUUGGGGUCAUUUCAUGGGAUUUUGGGCUGGAUUUGGGGCUGGAUUUUGGGGUGAUUUAAUGGGAUUUUGGGCUGGAUUUUGGGGUCAUUUUAUGGGAUUUCAGGCUGGAAUUGGGGUAGGAUUUUGGGGUCAUUUGAUGGAAUUUUGGGGCUGGAUUUUGGGGACAAAUUUCAAGACAAUUCUGCAGAAUCUCAGGAUACAUUUUGGGGCAAUUCCACGGGAUUUGGGGCUGGAUUUUGGGGUAAUUCCACGGGAUUUCAGGGUAAGAUUUUGGGGUAAUUCCACGGGAUUUCAGGGCAGAUUUUGGGGUAAUUCCAUGGGAUUUCAGGGCAGAUUUUGGGGGUAAUUCCACGGGAUUCCAGGGCAGAUUUUGGGGUAAUUCCACGGGAUUCCAGGGCAGAUUUUGGGGUAAUUCCGCGGGGUUUUGGGGUGAAUUUUGGGGAUUUUGGGUUUCU
rnacentral:lncRNA from 1 species